UACGUAGGGUGCAAGCGUUGUCCGGAAUUAUUGGGCGUAAAGAGCUCGUAGGCGGUUUGUCGCGUCUGCUGUGAAAACUCGGGGCUUAACCCCGGGCCUGCAGUGGAUACGGGCAGACUAGAGUAUGGCAGGGGAGACUGGAAUUCCUGGUGUAGCGGUGAAAUGCGCAGAUAUCAGGAGGAACACCGGUGGCGAAGGCGGGUCUCUGGGCCAAAACUGACGCUGAGGAGCGAAAGCGUGGGGAGCGAACAGG
rnacentral:rRNA from 1 species